rnacentral:rRNA from 1 species
GACGAACGCUGGCGGCGUGCUUAACACAUGCAAGUCGAACGCUGAAGCUUGGUGCUUGCACUGGGUGAUGAGUGGCGAACGGGUGAGUAAUAAGUGAGUAACCUGCCCUUGACUCUGGGAUAAGCCUGGGAAACUGGGUCUAAUACUGGAUACGACAUGUCACCGCAUGGUGGUGUGUGGAAAGGGUUUUACUGGUUUUGGAUGGGCUCACGGCCUAUCAGCUUGUUGGUGGGGUAAUGGCUCACCAAGGCGACGACGGGUAGCCGGCCUGAGAGGGUGACCGGCCACACUGGGACUGAGACACGGCCCAGACUCCUACGGGAGGCAGCAGUGGGGAAUAUUGCACAAUGGGCGGAAGCCUGAUGCAGCGACGCCGCGUGAGGGAUGACGGCCUUCGGGUUGUAAACCUCUUUCAGCACGGAAGAAGCGAAAGUGACGGUACGUGCAGAAGAAGCGCCGGCUAACUACGUG